GUCACUCCCGAACAAAACGAGAUAAGUCGAAACAAAGUAAAUGUAUCGGAAGAUGUAUUUAGAAUAUAUUAGAAAUAACUUAGUAUAUUACCAAAACUUAUGUUAAUAAAUUGUAAAAUAUUGUAGUAAGGAAAUUUUAGCCCUUAUUAUAAUUUAGUUAUGUAAAUAUUAAAUAUAAUCUUAAAUAAUUUAAUUUAUAUAAAAAUUAUCAUAUU
rnacentral:rRNA from 1 species